UUCUAACACCCUGUUAAAAAAAACCAAAAAAGACUCUGAAACCCUCUCUCCAAUCCUCUGGCCUGAGUUCUAACAACGGCCGAUGGCCACCGCUCCAUGCACCCACGCGCCGCAGUGCACGGCGGUCGGAAGGCCAAAAAUCCUUCCUCUUGUAGUCGAAACACAGGUAAUCACAAGAUCUCUGGCGGAGAUGAGGGGGACGUCCUUCGUUUGGUGCUUGCGGCGCGAGGAGAGGGCUAGGGUUUCUAACCCUAGCCGAAUGCUUCUAAAUUUUGGGCCUCUGAGAGUUUGGGUUAGUAGUGUUUAGAUAUUGGGCUUCGGAUGUGAAUGAGUACACGGGUAGCAACCGGAUUAAAUGUUUGGGCUCUGUUGUAUUUUGGUGCUUUGUAAAUGGACUCUUAAUAAAUUAAUAUUUAUUUGCCCA